rnacentral:rRNA from 1 species
CUACGGGACGCAGCAGUGGGGAAUAUUGCACAAUGGACGAAAGUCUGAUGCAGCAACGCCGCGUGGAGGAUGACACAUUUCGGUGCGUAAACUCCUUUUAUAUCCCAAGAUAAUGACGGUAGGAUAUGAAUAAGCGCCGGCUAACUCCGUGCCAGCAGCCGCGGUAAUACGGAGGGCGCAAGCGUUACUCGGAAUCACUGGGCGUAAAGAGCGUGUAGGCGGAUAGAUAAGUUGGGAGUGAAAUCCUAUGGCUUAACCAUAGAAUUGCUUCCAAAACUGUCUAUCUAGAAUAUGGGAGAGGUAGAUGGAAUUUCUGGUGUAGGGGUAAAAUCCGUAGAGAUCAGAAGGAAUACCGAUUGCGAAGGCGAUCUACUGGAACAUUAUUGACGCUGAGACGCGAAAGCGUGGGGAGCAAACAGGAUUAGAUACCCUUGUAGUC